UACGUAGGGGGCAAGCGUUGUCCGGAAUCAUUGGGCGUAAAGAGCGUGUAGGCGGUUCGAUAAGUCUGCUGUGAAAGUCCAGGGCUCAACCCUGGGAUGCCGGUGGAUACUGUCGGGCUAGAGUACGGAAGAGGCGAGUGGAAUUCCCGGUGUAGCGGUGAAAUGCGUAGAGAUCGGGAGGAACACCAGAGGCGAAGGCGGCGACCUGGACAGUUACUGACACUCAACUACGCAAGCGUGGGGAGCAAACAGG
rnacentral:rRNA from 1 species